rnacentral:rRNA from 1 species
AUUGAACGCUGGCGGCAGGCUUAACACAUGCAAGUCGAGCGGGGGAAGGUAGCUUGCUACUGGACCUAGCGGCGGACGGGUGAGUAAUGCUUAGGCAUCUGCCUAUUAGUGGGGGACAACAUCUCGAAAGGGAUGCUAAUACCGCAUACGUCCUACGGGAGAAAGCAGGGGAUCUUCGGACCUUGCGCUAAUAGAUGAGCCUAAGUCGGAUUAGCUAGUUGGUGGGGUAAAGGCCUACCAAGGCGACGAUCUGUAGCGGGUCUGAGAGGAUGAUCCGCCACACUGGGACUGGGACACGGCCCAGACUCCUACGGGAGGCAGCAGUGGGGAAUAUUGGACAAUGGGGGGAACCCUGAUCCAGCCAUGCCGCGUGUGUGAAGAAGGCCUUAUGGUUGUAAAGCACUUUAAGCGAGGAGGAGGCUACUUUAGUUAAUACCUAGAGAUAGUGGACGUUACUCGCAGAAUAAGCACCGGCUAACUCUGUGCCAGCAGCCGCCGUAA